AAGAUCGGAGUGCUUGCACUCUGUGAAACAAGAUAUAGGCUAAACGGCGGACGGGGUGAGUACACGUGGGGUAACCCUGCCCAAGAGAUCGGGGAUAACACCUGGGAACAGAUGCUAAUACCCGGGAUAACACAGAUGAUGCCUAUCAACUGUUUUAAAAAGAUGGGUUCUGCUAUCACUCUUGGAUGGGACCCUGCGGUGCAUUAGCUAGUUGGUAGGGUAACGGCCUACCAAGGCGAUGAUGCAUAGCCGAGUUGAGAGACUGAUCGGCCACAUUGGGACUGAGACACGGCCCAAACUCCUACGGGAGGCAGCAGUAGGGAAUCUUCCACAAUGGACGCAAGUCUGAUGGAGCAACGCCGCGUGAGUGAAGAAGGGUUUCGGCUCGUAAAGCUCUGUUGUUGGUGAAGAAGGACAGGGGUAGUAACUAACCUUUGUUUGACGGUAAUCAAUUAGAAAGUCACGGCUAACUACGUGCCAGCAGCCGCGGUAAU
rnacentral:rRNA from 1 species